rnacentral:rRNA from 1 species
UACGUAGGCAGCAAGCGUUGUUCGGAGUUACUGGGCGUAAAGGGUGUGUAGGCGGUUUUUUAAGUUUGGUGUGAAAUCUCCCGGCUCAACUGGGAGGGUGCGCCGAAGACUGCGGUGCUUGAGUGUGGGAAAGGUAGGCGGAAUUCCUGGUGUAGCGGUGAAAUGCGUAGAUAUCAGGAGGAACACCGGUGGUGUAGACGGCUUACUAGACCAUGACUGACGCUGAGGCACGAAAGCGUGGGUAGCAAACAGG